GAGUGUUCGGGUUAAGUCCCGCAACGAGCGCAACCCCUGCAUUCAGUUGCCAUCGGGUAAUGCCGGGCACUCUGGAAGGACUGCCAUCGACAAGAUGGAGGAAGUGGGGAUGACGUCAAGUCAUCAUGGCCCUUAUGUCCAGGGCGACACACGUGCUACAAUGGCCGGCACAACGGGAAGCGAGUUCGCGAGGACGAGCGGAUCCCUCAAAGCCGGUCGCAGUUCGGAUUGAAGUCUGCAACUCGACUUCAUGAAGCUGGAAUCGCUAGUAAUCGUGGAUCAGCCAAGCCGCGGUGAAUACGUUCCCGGGCCUU
rnacentral:rRNA from 1 species